UUUUUGAAAGCUUAAAAUAAAAGCAUUGAAUUUUUACUUCAAAGAAGCAAAAUAAUUUGCUCG
rnacentral:tRNA from 1 species